AUCAUUGCUAAUACCGCAUAUGCCAUGAACAUCACAUGAUGAAAAUGGGAAAAGAGUAAUCUACUAGUAGAUGGGCUCGCGUCUGAUUAGAUAGUUGGUGGGGUAACGGCCUACCAAGUCAACGAUCAGUAGCCGGACUGAGAGGUUAAACGGCCACAUUGGGACUGAGAUACGGCCCAGACUCCUACGGGAGGCAGCAGUCGGGAAUAUUGCGCAAUGGAGGAAACUCUGACGCAGUGACGCCGCGUAUAGGAAGAAGGUUUUCGGAUUGUAAACUAUUGUCGUUAGGGAAGAUACAAGACAGUACCUAAGGAGGAAGCUCCGGCUAACUACGUGCCAGCAGCCGCGGUAAUACGUAGGGAGCAAGCGUUAUCCGGAUUUAUUGGGUGUAAAGGGUGCGUAGACGGGACAACAAGUUAGUUGUGAAAUCCCUCGGCUUAACUGAGGAACUGCGACUAAAACUAUUGUUCUUGAGUGUUGGAGAGGAAAGUGGAAUUCCUAGUGUAGCGGUGAAAUGCGUAGAUAUUAGGAGGAACACCGGUGGCGAAGGCGACUUUCUGGACAAUAACUGACGUUGAGGCACGAAAGUGUGGGGAGCAAACAGGAUUAGAUACCCUGGUAGUCCACACCGUAAACGAUGGAUACUAGGUGUAGGAAAUGAUUU
rnacentral:rRNA from 1 species